CUCUGGUUAGAGAAGACUUGCAAAUUCUCUGAAAACCAAUUUGGUUUUUGCAAGGGAAAGAGCACUAUCGAUGCACUAAAGCAGGCCGUGUGCCACAUACGUAAGGCAAAGGAAAUACGAAAUGUACAACUUGAGGCAGGUGUUCGGGUAUCUGAACAGGCGUUUGCGGACGACCAGCUCCUGGUAAUUACAGGGCCGCCAACAAAACGGAUUGAAACUGCAUGGCUGUCAAUGGGCACAUCAACACAAGCUGGAUUACGCGCCGCACAAAACAACUGCGAUGUUUGCCAGUGCGACCAACAUACUGAGGGAGCCCCAGAUCCGUCUCGGCGACAUUGUCGUGACACCCACUGAGUCACUGAAGUAUUUGGGCGUUAUCAUCGACCAAAAGUUGAACUUCGUUGAACACGUGAAAUACGUCAGGGAAGAUUGCAAGUGCUGGCCACAAGAUCCGGGCCAUCAUUGGCAGAACAUGGGAUACACACCCACGUGUUCUGCGCAAAAUCUAUCUUCGAGCUGCAAAACCAGCGUUGCUGUACGCGGCGGAGAUAUGGGGUGAGAAAUCCAAGGACUCGCGUAUACGGAAGCACUUGGCCGCUGCCCAGCGACCAUUUCUGCUUGGAACGCGUCUGUCCAAGUGCUGGCUGGGUGUAUGCCACUUCAUCUCGAAGCGCGGCAAAUGCACGAACAAUCAGUACAGAUGGAUGCACCCGACCUCGAACCCAGGAUGAAAACGGCGGAAAAGUGGCAUCCGGCGGUUCCAACACCGCGUUGGAAAGAACUUAAAACCGUCCCAGACGGUGAGUCAUCGGAAGACUGGUUCUUUACGAACGCGGCGCGCAAAAACGACGCCAUAGGAAUAGCGGUUCAACAACCAAACGGUGAGUUAAUUUGUUUCCGCUUGCAAGACGGAUACCCGGUCCUCCGGGCCGAAUUGCAAGCAAUUAAAUGUGCUAUCGAUACUGCCGCAAAUAUUUUUGUUACAGGUCGCAAAGUCAACAUCGUGUCUGACUCGAGAGUAGCACUAGACAUUCUCGUUAAUGGCAGAUGCGGUGUUGCGCAGGACAUUCUCUGCCAAGUCAGAGCCAUCGAAGGAGGCGGCUGCGAGGGGGUCAACUUCUGGUGGGCAAAGGACGCGAAUCCUAGGAUCAGGGCCGCCGACAUUGCCGCACGGGAAGUGGUGGAAGCCAUAGUCGACUACCCGACAAUCCAAGCGCCAACGACGAAAGACAUGGUGAAGACGAGGACACGGAACGGACGACACACCGCGAUCAUCUGCCAUAAUGUGGUCGAGCGUGAUCACCGAAAGCUGUGUGCUCAUGCGUGAUCUGAUUCGAGGACAUUGUCAAGCAGGGAGUUCGACUGGAGCGAAGUUAACAGAGAGUUCUAAUGUAUUCUAGUUAUAAAUCUGGUUUUCCAGUAAAAUUUUUGGUUGCAAUCAAUCCAUCAGGUUUAUUACUUUUGUAUCAAAAUCAUAUGGAGGAAAUGAUAAUGAUGGAUUCAUAUCCAACGAUUCCGGAAUUCUUAAUUUAAUUAAAGCCAGCGAUCAAAUUCGUACAGAUAAAGAGUCUCCACAAAUUUGUCUCAUAAACAUUUGAAACAUGAAAACUACUACAUAACUUGCUGCCUUUUGAUAAACUUUACGUUUUAAAAAUGUCUAGGUGAAUUUGUAGAAAGCUGCUGAAUAGUUUUUUGUCAACAAUUUAGCUGAACCACUAUUUAAAAAAUAAGCCACAGGGCAGCGCUAACGUUGCGCGCCAAAGACACUUUAGUAGUAUUUUAGCAUUUUUACUAGCAAUAUGGUAUAUGAAGUUUGCUAAAUGGUCUAUGUAUAGUGUCAUGUAUGGAGUUGAUUAGUUCAUUUAAUAAGUUGUUUUAAUUUGUGUUUAUGUACUAGUACGUUUUCUUUAAUGUUUAGAUGAUUGUCUUUAAAGGAUUUUAGUAUUGUAUGUAUAUUUUCUAUUGUAUUGUGUUUGUGGUUGUGUUGUAGUAUGUGUUUGGCAUAGCGUGAAUGAUAUAUGUGUGGAUUUUUUAUAGCGCUUGUGUGUUCUUUGAAUCUGCUUUCCAUAUUUCUGUUGGUUUUGCUGAUGUAUAUUUUAUUGCAUAUGUUGCAAGUGGUUUAGUAUAUUCCGUUGUUUUUGCAUAUGUUGUUGUCUUGUAUUAAGUUUGUCUGCACUUUCUUGAUUAGUUUAUUGUGUAUUUUGUAUGUGAAUUUGAGGUGUAAAAAUGUAUUUGAUGUUAUAUGUAUCUUUAUUUAUGUAAUGGAAUAUGUGGUACUUAAUGAUUCUUGUCAUCAAUUACGUUAAAUUUUACAAUAAAAUAUAUACAUGUAUACAAAA